AAAAAAACAUGAAUAUAUUGCUUCAUGCUACAAGUUGUCAGCAACACAGGCAAGCACUCAAGAUGAACAUGAAGGAGUUGUGCAUUUCUGGAUGGGAUUAAUUCAGGCACAGGGCUUUUUCCCAUGGCCGAGUCCUGUGUGCCCUGCUGCUCUCGUCAGGUCUACAUUUUCCUCCUGAAAACUCUGUGAACCAAGACAACAGUAAAAAAGGCAAACAUGGAUGACAAGGGCAGUUGUGCAGAACUGGUGACUGUGUGCUACUCCUUUCCCCAGCAGUCCAUCACUUGCUUGGCAUUGGCAGAGAUGGUAGGUGCCACUUCUAAUUCCUGUAAACUGGCACAGCUGAGAAACCAGAACUUCUGUCAACCCAUAGGGUAUGUAUACAUAUGUAUAUGUAGAAAGUGCCAGGUUCUGUGGAAAUGAAUGUGGAAAUGUUAAGGAUCCUC